rnacentral:rRNA from 1 species
AUGGGCGAUGCCGGCCAGUCCCAUCAUCACCACGGGCUCCAGACGCAGCUCCUGUCUUUCGGAGGCGCCGGGAGCCACCACCAUCACAUGCAUCAAUUCACGGCGCAGGCGCAGGCGCCCGCGGCAUCCCAGACGCGGGCGCGAGGAGGACGAGGCGGCGAGAUGGUGCCGGCGACGCCUGCGCGGGUGAGGGGCGGCGGAGGCGGGGAGAUCGUGGCAGUGCAGGGAGGGCACAUUGUGCGCUCCACGGGGCGGAAAGACCGGCACAGCAAGGUCUGCACGGCGCGCGGGCCUCGCGACCGGCGCGUCCGGCUGUCGGCACACACGGCCAUCCAGUUCUACGACGUGCAAGACCGGCUGGGCUACGACCGCCCCAGCAAGGCCGUCGAUUGGCUCAUCAAGAACGCCAAGGACGCCAUCGACAACCUCGACACCCUUCCGGCUUGGCAGCCCACGGCCGUCGCCCCUGCCUCCAGCAAUGCCGCCGCGCCGCCGUCCUCCUCGACCCAGCCUGACUCCGCCGACAACUCAGACGACCAGGCGCAGGCCAUCACCAUCGCGCACUCGUCCUUCGACUUCGCCGGCUCUGGUGGCGCUGGAGGAGCCACGGGCGGCAUCAGCUUCCUCCCGCCGUCGCUCGACUCGGACUCCAUCGCGGACACGAUCAAGUCGUUCUUCCCCAUGGGCGGGACCGCAGGCGGGGAGCCGUCGUCGUCCACUGUGGCUGCGCACUCGUCGGCCAUGGGUUUUCAAGGCUACACACCGGACCUCCUGUCGCGAACCGGCAGCCAGAGCCAAGAACUCCGGCUGUCGCUGCAGCCUUUACCAGACCCCAUGUUUCACCACCACCACCACCAGCAGGAGCAGCACCGGCCGGAUGGCCACGACGGCAACGGCACCGCCCAGCAGACACUAUUCCCCGGCGCGGCCAGUUACUCAUUUGGCGGCGGCGGCGCCAUGUGGGCCGAGCAGGCGGCGAGCCAGCGCAUGAUGCCGUGGAACGUGCCCGACCCAGGCGGCGGGAGCACUGGCGGCUACUUGUUCAACGUGUCGCAGCAGGCGGCGCAUAUGCAAGCGGCGCUGAGUGGCCAGAGCCAGUUCUUCUUCCAGAGGGGUCCCCUUCAGUCCAGUAACCAGCCCUCCGACCGAGGAUGGCCGGAGACCGUCGAAGCUGACGACAACAACCCGAUGCAGCAGCAGCAGCAGCACCAAGGGGGCUUGAACCCUUCCGUGUCGGCAAUCGGGUUCGGUCCCGGCGUCAGCUUCUCCGGAUUCCGCGUCCCCGCGAGGAUGCAGGGCAACGAGGAGCACAACGGCGGCAAUGGCGACAAGCCGCCGUCCGUCUCCUCGGCUUCCCACCACUGA